CAGGUCCCCGGCCGAAGCCUCCGGCUCGAGGGCGCGCCCCCGGCCCAAGCCCCCGCCGUCGCCGCCGCCAGGGGCGGCCUGCUGCUCACCUGGCCGCCGGCUCCUCCCUCGCCUGCCCGGCCCGGCCGCCGCCUAGGAGCAAGCGCGGGCCGCGGGAAGUCCGCUGAGGAGGGGGAGGGGGCGGGAUGCCGGGAGCCGCCUCCUUUCUCCUCGCCGCCGGCUCCCGCAGCCAGGCCGCGCUUCCUCACCCACUCGCCCACUUUCUCACGGCCUCGCGGUCGGCCGGCCUCUCCCUUUCCCCCCCUCCCCCCCACGCCCGCACUCCCGUUCCUACACACUCGCUCACGCCCGGCCGCCGCUCGCUCCCUCACUCGCCUGUCGCCCGACCGCGCGCGCGCGCGAUCCCGCUCACACCACACACACAGCGCACGACGCCGGCGAGGCCGCCCCGCGUCCCCCAGACCGAGGCGCCGCGCGCCCCCCGCCCGAGCCGAGGACCCGCGCGGCCCCGCCCCCAAGCGCCGCACGCGCGGGCGGGGGGCGGCGGGGGGCGGGGCGGCGGGGGGCGGGGCGGCGAGGCGAGCGCGCUCGACCGACUGACACCUGCGAGGGGACCUCCCCGCUGCCGGAGGGGAGCCACGGGGCGCGCGCUCGCGAGGGGAGGCACGCGGGCGCUCCAAGGACGCGCCUAGCCACCCGCCCCCAAACCGUCCUCUCGGAGCCAGGAAAACGGGUCCGGGGCGAGGUUUGUUCCGCUCCGCACCGCGAGAGUAGGCCCUGCCGUUGUGCGCCCUCCCGCCAGCGCAGCCCCUCCUUGGGCUGCGGCCGGCCGUGACCGCUUUGAUGACCGCCGACACCCCCACGCGAGAUCUGGCCAGGGGACUCGCGCCGCCCGCAGUGGGGCUAGCGGCCCUCCCUCCCUGGCGUCCUGGCUCACCAGAAGGCAGAGAUUUGGGGACAAAGAUGAUGGUAACUAAUAGUCCCGAUCCGCGAACGCACCGAAGACAAUGCCUCUCUGUAUGGAAAGGCGCGUUAACUGCUCCUUGGCUGAGCUUGGUACGCUAAGGGAGGCUGAGGCAGGAGGAUCACAGGCGACCCUGCGCCACAAAAGAAAAUAAGCGACAUAAUAAAUUCUAUGGGUUGGGCAGGUUCAAAGAGAGACAAGGAAGCCAGAGCCAGCCGGGCGAGUUGAUGUCAGAAUAAACAUCGUAUUUAGGAGCAUUUCCUACAUCCUGAAACCUAAUAAAUCGUCCAAAGAAGAGGCUAAAUAAACGUUUGACCACACUCCACUACCGGUCAGCAGUUCACACAGACCCAUGAUCGGAAAG
ensembl:lncRNA